rnacentral:rRNA from 1 species
UACGUAGGGGGCGAGCGUUGUCCGGAGUUACUGGGCGUAAAGGGCGCGUAGGCGGUUCGGCACGUUGAGAGUGACAGUGCCCGGCUUAACCGGGUAAGGGCUCUGAAAACGACCGGACUGGAGGGCCAGCGAGGGAGAUGGAAUUCCGGGUGGAGCAGUGAAAUGCGUAGAUAUCCGGAGGAACACCAAAGGCGAAGGCAGUCUCCUGGCUGGCAUCUGACGCUGAGGCGCGAAAGCCAGGGAAG